CCACUAAGCCAUUCUGAUUCAUCUCUGCAGCAAGGGCUUCAUAAGUGUCUUUCGUGUGCUUGAUUACUUCCACCAUUUCUUUUUCUUUCAGGAAGUUGCUGAGGCACACACUUGGCAGCUGGCAGCUUUUGCUUUCGUAGGAGGUUGCUUGGUUGCCUGGUGAACAUCUAAAAUGGUCCUCGGUGGGUGUAUGUGCUGACUUUCUGUCCUUUGUGUUGAGAGUUUGGCUCACCAUUUUGUUUGGAUAUGUAGCCUGGAGCAUAGAAAACAGAAAGGACAGGAGGAUGAAAUAUCUGGAACGCAACAUGUUAACAGCAAGGCGGCUUGGAGCAUGCAAAAUAUUCCCAGUAGAAUCUGCAGCUAUGCAACAGUACUCAGAUACAGCCACUUGGAACCAAAUCUAGAAAAGCCACAAACGCUUCUUUGAUCUGUAAAGCCUGUGGUUCAGAGACCUCAUAAGCCGUGUGCUUUGAGGCACCUAAACCAUCACCGUAGAUUUUACAACAACCUGGAUCUUCUUCUAUUGAUCAGCUAAUGCUGCCUUCUGGCCCUCCAUGCAAGC